CCUACGGGAGGCAGCAGUGGGGAAUUUUCCGCAAUGGGCGAAAGCCUGACGGAGCAAUACCGCGUGAGGGAAGACUGCCUAUGGGUUGUAAACCUCUUUUUUCAGGGAGGAAUCAAUGACGUGUACCUGAAGAAUAAGCAUCGGCUAGCUCCGUGCCAGCAGCCGCGGUAAGACGGAGGAUGCAAGUGUUAUCCGGAAUCACUGGGCGUAAAGCGUCUGUAGGUGGUUUAAUAAGUCAACUGUUAAAUCUUGAGGCUCAACUUCAAAAUCGCAGUCGAAACUAUUAGACUAGAGUAUAGUAGAGGUAAAGGGAAUUUCCAGUGGAGCGGUGAAAUGCGUAGAUAUUGGAAAGAACACCGAUGGCGAAAGCACUUUACUGGGCUAUUACUGACACUCAGAGACGAAAGCUAGGGUAGCAAAUGGGAUUAGAUACCCCAGUAGUCCUAGCCGUAAACAAUGGAUACUAGAUGUUGAACAGAUCGACCUGUGCAGUAUCAAAGCUAACGCGUUAAGUAUCCCGCCUGGGAAGUAUGCUCGCAAGAGUGAAACUCAAAGGAAUUGACGG
rnacentral:rRNA from 1 species